AAAUCGUUGGAGUGGCAUUUCCGUUUGUACAGUGAAGAAAUGAGUUACAAGUAAUAAAUAAAAGCGACUUUUGUUAGAUUUCUUUUAACCUACAAUCUACUGAAAUUAAACCCGUUGUUAUCCUGCGACGGAGAGCGAAAUGAACACCCGACGGUGCAUCUUGUGAACAACUUUGAAGGAAAGAAAAACAACCAAACGAGUCUGAUAUGAA
rnacentral:lncRNA from 1 species